CAGAUUUAGGACUAAGGUGUGAAUUGAGUUUUGGUUAGGGUUAGAAAUGAAAGGAAGUCAAUGGAAAGUCCCCGCAAAGAUAGCUGCGCAAACAUGUGUUUGGGCGUGUGUGUGUUUGUGGGUUUACUGAAUCCUUCACAUAAAUAAGUGCCUCUAUGAUUAUAGACUUAUCUAACAAACAUAAAUUCUUAAAAAGAAGUGCUUAGAAUAUUCAUGGGAAUCAGAUUGGAAGAAUCCAAAGGUAUCUUUUCUAACAAUGACAUAGAACUAUAAACCAUUGCUGUUCUUGUUUAAAAUAUUUACAAUCAGAGAAGUAACUGAAAAAAGAUCAAUGGAAUUGUAAAAUAGUUCAAUAAUCAUUGAAGUGGUUUCCAUUGCUGUACAGGAUUCAUGUCAGGUAAAAAAAAGAAAUUAGCAAAAGCAAGAAAUGAAAUAAAAAUAGUGUUCUUAACUUACUUCAUUUGCUUUACAAUGGUGCUCUUUCCAGACUCCCCAGCACCU